UCCCUGAUAGCUCAGUUGGUAAAGAAUCUGCCUGCAAUGCAGGAGACCCCGGUUCGAUUCCUGAGUCAGGAA
rfam:Ovis aries breed Texel chromosome 12, whole genome shotgun sequence.